rnacentral:rRNA from 1 species
UUGGAGGGCAAGUCUGGUGCCAGCAGCCGCGGUAAUUCCAGCUCCAAUAGCGUAUAUUAAAGUUGUUGCAGUUAAAAAGCUCGUAGUUGAAUUUCGGGGUUCUACCGUUGGUCGGGCUUUGUCUGUACUGGUGUGUAGAAUUUCUACCUUCUGGGGAACCAUCAUGCUAUUAAUUUAGCGUGGUGGGAAACCAGGACCUUUACCUUGAAAAAAUUAGUGUGUUCAAAGCAGGCUUAUGUCUGAAUACAUUAGCGUGGAAUAAUAGAAUAGGACGGUGGUCCUGUUUUGUUGGUUUCUGAAUCACCGUAAUGAUUAAUAGGGAUUGUUGGGGGCAUUAGUAUUCAAUUGUCAGAGGUGAAAUUCUUGGAUUUAUUGAAGACUAACUUCUGCGAAAGCAUUUGCCAAGGAUGUUUUCAUUAAUCAAGAACGAAAGUUAGGGGAUCGAAGACGAUCAGAUACCGUCGUAGUCUUAACCAUAAACUAUGCCGACUAGGGAUCGGACGAUGUUAAUUUUUCUUGACUCGUUCGGCGCCUUACGGGAAAC